ensembl:lncRNA
GAGAAUCAUGCCCAAGCGCAUCACAAACCCUGCAACUCCUCUCCCUCACCUAGCCUUUAAAUGCUUCCCCAAAACCUACUGCGCAGUUUGGGCUUUUUGAGCAUGAGCUGCCCUGGAUUCCUCAUCUGGCACCUUACAAGAAAUUCUGCACUUUCCUGGACUAUAACAGAAUCACAGGAAAAGACCCUGAUGCUGCAAAAGAUUGAAGGCAUGAGAAGGGGAGGUUGGAUGGCAUCCUCAACUCAAUGCACAAGAGUUUGAGCAAAUUCACAGAGACAGUGAAGAACAUGGAAGCUUGGUGUGCUGCAGUCCAGGAGGAAAGAGUCAGACAUGACUGAGUAACUGAACAACAGCAAAAGAACUGGAAAAUAUCUAGACCCUAAUCAACUAUGCAAAGCUACGUUUCCCUAAGUAGUCAAAUGUCCUUUAGGUGGACUUUUUAGAUAAUCUUCUUACCGUGGCAUUAAAAGAUCACAUUAUGUUUUUUG